GAAAAUUGUAAAUCUACCAUCUCUGAUUGCACACCAGACUGCUGCUCACGGACAGAAGAGAUGGACUUCAACCAUCAAUAGCCAGUGUCCUGUCAAGCGCCUUUGGAGGGGAGGCGGUAUCACAUCACCAAGGAGCAGCUUGAGUUCCUCAUAGAUUGUCAUAUGACCAUCAGACAAAUGGCAGAUGUUCUCAAUGAGUCGCACUCUGUGGUCAAGUUGCGCAUGAGGUGUAGGAUUGUUAUCCAUGGUGCUGUGGAUGGUUACAGCAGACUUGUGUUUCUGAAGGCCUCUGACAACAACAGGACCGCCACAGUCAUAGAGUCAUUCGAAGCAGCCAUCACCAGCUACGGAGUACCAUCCCAGGUGAGAUGUGACCGGGUGGUGAAAACAACCGCAUCUGUGCCUUCAUGGAGCAG